rnacentral:rRNA from 1 species
UAGAGAUGCGGAGGAACACCGAUGCCGAAGGCAGCCCCCUGGGCCGACACUGACGCUCAGGCACGAAAGCGUGGGGAGCAAACAGGAUUAGAUACCCUGGUAGUCCACGCCCUAAACGAUGCUCACUAGGUGUUGGGGAAGCGAUUCCUUGGUACCGUAGCUAACGCGUGUAGUGAGCCGCCUGGGGAGUACGGCCGCAAGGUUAAAACUCAAAGGAAUUGACGGGGACCCGCACAAGCGGUGGAUGAUGUGGAUUAAUUCGAUGCAACGCGAACAACCUUACCUACCCUUGACAUGUCCGGGAGCCUGCUGAGAGGCGGGUGUGCCUGAAAGGGGACCGGAACACAGGUGCUGCAUGGCUGUCGUCAGCUCGUGUCGUGUGAUGUUGGGUUAAGUCCCGCAACGAGCGCAACCCUUGUCCCUAGUUGCUACGCAAGGGCACUCUAGGGAGACUGCCGGUGACAAACCGGAGGAAGGUGGGGAUGACGUCAAGUCCUCAUGGCCCUUAUGGGUAGGGCUUCACACGUCAUACAAUGGCCGGUACAGAGGGUUGCCAACCCGCGAGGGGGAGCCAAUCCCAGAAAGCCGGUCGUAGUCCGGAUUGCAGUCUGCAACUCGACUGCAUGAAGUCGGAAUCGCUAGUAAUCGCGGAUCAGCAUGUCGCGGUGAAUACGUUCCCGGGUCUUGUACACACCGCCCGUCACACCAUGGGAGCGGGAUGUACCAGAAGCAGCUAGCCUAACCGCAAGGGGGGCAGUGCCACGGGCGU